rnacentral:ncRNA from 1 species
UCACGAGUGCUGAUCACAGCUAGCCCUGGCUGAUCGGCCAGCAACCCUCUGCGCAUAGUGGGGUGCUCCAGGUGAGGAUUCGGCUUAGUUCAAACGUUCUAAGCAAGUAU